UAGUGAGCUACAGCUGUGUGAUCAACAAUCCCAUCAGCAACCAGACCACACAUCUCAACAUCACUCAACUCUGUCAGCCAUGUCCAGGUAUGUUGGUGUUGGUAUUAACAUAAAUUAACUAAGUUAUAUAGUGCUGCUGUUUGAUACUCUUUUUUGUAAAUCAAGCAAACAGAUUUACUGAUACAUGGUUCAAUUUGUCGAUUCCAGAUCAGGGCCUACCUUUAUUUUACAUAGUGCUGAUUCCUUCUGCUGCUGGAUCUCUGUUGAUUGUUUCAGUUGUGAUCUGCUGCAUCUGCAGGAAAUGUAGAAAAACAGCUCUGACCCAAGAGGAAGACAGAACUGAUUCAGCAUUGUGUAAACCAGCAACACGAAAAAUGAAAUCAAAGACUGACGCUGUGUAUGAAAAUAUCCCCAAAAAGCGAUGAUAAAAUACAGUGAGCGUGAUUUGACCAAGUACAUGUUCCUGGAUCAUCCUUGUUGAUCCUGGAACAACAUUCCAAUCAACCAAUCAGAACUGAGAUUUAACUUUUCAGGAAAUACCUG
rnacentral:lncRNA from 1 species